AGCUCAGUGUCCAAUCGUAUUUGUUUCUGCAAAUACGACAUGUGGCUUGAAACGGUAACCAGCAGUGACUCCGGUGAAAGUCUCUUGGAAAAGGGCAUCAUGGAGGGUGAGAAUCCCGUUCAUCAUUGGAUGAUCACUGUGUACGGUUCCGAUUCGAACGAGUCGCGUUCCUUGGGAUUGGAGCGUAAACGGGUGGUAGAUUCCAUCUAAAGCUAAAUAUAGACUCGAGACCGAUAGCAAACAAGUACCAUGAGGGAAAGGUGAAAAGAACUUUGAAAAGAGGGUUAAAAGUGCCUGAAAUCGUUGUGGGGGAAGCGAAUAUAACCUAUGCAUAUGCAUUGAUAAGGAUUGCUUGUCUCAGUAUUGGUUAGGCGUUUGGAUUCAGAGGGUAACCCUGAGGUUUAAGCGUUUUGAUUAAUACGGGCGAGUGUUUCCUUGUUAGUGUUGCCAACAUCAUCUCUGAUAGCAAAAAUAAGCUUGUAUCGUAUUUCGGUCUUCGGAUUGGGAAUGGUAUAAGUCUUUUGCUUUGGGGGUGAGGAUAUCUUCAUAUUCUUUCCACUAGUCGUUUUAUUGGUUGUCUGUCGCUGCCACGAUUUAUCGUAACAGUUGCACCAGCCUCUAAAAUUGCUAGAAUAGGAGUGAAGGAUGUUGGUUUUCAUAGGUUAUAUUCGGCCCGUCUUGAAACACGGACCAAGGAGUCUAACGUAUGUGCGAGUAUGUGAGUUUGAAAACUUAUAUGCGCAAUGAAAGUAAGUUGCUGGGAUUCUUCGGAUGCACCAGUAACCGACCUUGAUCUACGGUGAAGGGUUUGAGUAGGAGCACACCCGUUAGGACCCGAAAGAUGGUGAACUAUGCCUGAGUAGGGUGAAGCCAGGGGAAACUCUGGUGGAGGCUCGUAGCGAUACUGACGUGCAAAUCGUUCGUCAAACUUGGGUAUAGGGGCGAAAGACUAAUCGAACCAUCUAGUAGCUGGUUCCCUCCGAAGUUUCCCUCAGGAUAGCUGGAGUCAGUCAAUUCAGUUUUGUCAGGUAAAGCGAAUGAUUAGAGGCAUCUGGGACGCCUAGUUCUAGACCUAUUCUCAAACUUUAAAUGGGCAAGAUCCGAUAGUUACUUCAUUGAACUGUCGGGAUCAAUGUAUUGACUCUUAGUGGGCCAUUUUUGGUAAGCAGAACUGGCGAUGAGGGAUGAACCUAACGUUGAGUUAAGGCGCACAACUGCCCGCUCAUCAGAUACCAGAAAGGGUGUUGGUCGAUCUUAACAGCAGGACGGUGGUCAUGGAAGUUGAAAUCCGCUAAGGAGUGUGUAACAACUCACCUGCCGAAUCGACUAGCCCCGAAAAUGGAUUGCGCUGAAGCGGGUGGCCGAUACUCAACCACUGAUACAAGUUUGAUAUCGUAUCAGUGAGUAGGAGGGCGUG
rnacentral:rRNA from 1 species